rnacentral:tRNA from 1 species
GGAGGCGUGCCUGAGUGGUUGAAAGGAACAGUCUUGAAAACUGUCAGGGGUGAAAGCUCCUCGUGAGUUCGAAUCUCACCGCCUCCG